GCAGAGGCUCCUAUUACUUCAACUUGGAAUUUCCUGAAUAUUUCAUGAGUAUACAGAAGCAACAUCUGUUUCUCGAAGGGAGAGGGAGACAAAAGCUCAGGCGUCUCGUGCCAUGCAUCAAAAUUAGCUUUCGCUUCCUCUUCAUACCAGUCUUCAAGAAUUAGCUUAUGUUGUCCAAUAAAGUCUCGAAGAGACAUUUCACUUUGGAUAUAUUUGUCAAAG
rnacentral:misc_RNA from 1 species